GGGAGCACACAUGCAUGCACAUACUGAUCCCCACGGAGCAGGAAUGAGGCUAUAAAACUUGUUUUGCUUUAUCUGUGAACCCGUGCUUGCAGCAAUCACAACGAUUUAAAGACAAAAAGAUAAAUGAAUACAAGCUUAUGAGCCGAAAUGCAGCUAUUUUUCUUUGCCGAUCCCGAGCUAAGUGGAAGAAAAACCCACAGAGAUCAACACCAACACAAAAAAGAAACAUCUAUUUAACCUCUUUUUUCCCCUGUUGUUCUGCUCAUCUGGUGUAAAUUAAAGAAAAAAAAAAAAUCUUUUGAGAGCCCUGAUUGUUUUAACCUGCCAGUAACCCCCUUGAGUUCAUCAGAGCAAAAGACAGCAAAAGCCUGUUUAUUGUCCAGCAGGCAUCUACACAUGUUGUAAGCGAAGUUCCAUCUGGUCACAACAUCAUGGAUCAUCUGGGCAACAGCCAGGCUUCAUUUGCUUCAUGUCCUGGACAGCAUGAAGGCAGCCGGAUAGGAAUACGUGAAUGACUGACCAACCACAACCGAGCCGGCCCCAGAGGAUUACUCUAAUAAUAGCUCCUCACCACGGAGCAGUGGUGGCAGUGUGACUUGUUUUCUUUUUCUAAAUGACUCAAGCUGGGCUCUGUGGGAUUGCUGAGCUUUUCUAUUAGGUGCUGGCAAUGUACUGGAGGCACAGCUUGGCUUGCUUUAACAGAACCGGAGGACUAUGUUGACUGCAUGAAAUUCUUCCCAAAACGUUCUUGUAAGCAAAGACCCAAAGAAACCCUGUGCAUAACGGCUGCUUUUCCAGGCUUGUACUGUGUGUAUUUCACAGCAAAGCAACGAGUACAAAACACCAUCAUACCAGAGUUUUACAAAUGCUUACCCUUGGAGAAGACGUCUGUUUUGCGCAAGGGCAAAAAAGAGAUAGUGAACGAUCGACUUAAUUCUGUUUAACCCAAAGUCUGAGCACCUCAGGGAGAUGCCCUGCGGCCAACAUUGUCUCCAGACAUCCAUAACACACUGAAGUACCAAAUGAGAUGUCCACAGCACUGCUGCUGCCCCGAUUGCCACAUCUCUUCUCGUCUCAAGUGCUCUUAUGUAAGCAGUGACGUAUUUGCUUCUGAACAAUAUUCUGAGUCGUCAGAGAAAUGCGUGUUCCAUUUACUCUGCAAAGGAUUGAAACAGAAUGCAAAAGUGAUGCUGAGCGGGCUGCAAUCACAGUCUGCAGUUCUCUGGGCAAUUCCAGAGGGAUUGCGGCAGUUGUUAUUGAAUAGCAUUUGUUGUAAUGGUGAAUACAACUCGAAACGCUGAGCAGGAAUGAAGCUACUUCCGUUUGUCUGAUAACGCCAAGAGGCAGCUUGAAACUAACUUCAAACUGCACAUCGAAUCUUGUCAUUCUGGAGUCACUCUCAGAUGUGGAAGGCAAAGAGAUGGAUACGGUGAAUUUCAGUUCAUGUGGCACAGUGAAGCAACCUGCCAUUCAGUAGCAGACAGUGAGAUGCUCUCUUCUCUCACCAAUGGGAACAUCAGCCUGGGGUUACUGCUCCCUGGAAGCAGGAGGAGGAUUAACGAAUUAAAGAAUGGGAAAUGUCCCCAAAAGGCAAAAAUCCUUCUUUGGCUUUUCACAUCAGUGUGAGUAUAGAGGGGAGGAAUAUUCAGCACAGGAAUUCUUGGGGAAGGGCAGGCCUGUGGGUGCUCAUGGAGAUAUGCUGCCAGGAUCCUGCAGCCCAGAGCACCCCCAUGGCACUCAGAGGAACAAGCAUGCACUGAUUUUGGCAGAGGAUAAAUGUGCCCAGAGGGAGCCAACACUGAGUCAUGGCAUUACUAGAAUGCCAGCUCUAGCUGCUGUUUCAUGGUGUAUGGCACAUGAAAGAAGAACUGCUUUGGUCUUCUCCAUCCUGGUUUGUAAAACAUUUGUAAAAUGUUGUGGAUAGGCUCAUCUGUAUGCAAAAUCUCAUGGUGCUUCUCUAUGUUCUGCUUUGAAAGGAUGGACAGGGCUGUGGGAUGGAGGCAUGAAAGUUGCCUAAAAACCUAUGAAAGCACAGUGGAAAACCCUGUGCCAUCACCCCUCGGUGUUACUGUUAUUGUACCUACGUUGGGCUUAGAGCCCAGUUUGUUACUGCCCGGGAAAAGACUGCGUUUUUACCAAAGCCCCCUCACUGACCUACCUAAAAUGACAGACACACCUUCCUUAUGCUUGAGUAAGAUGAGGGAUUGGUCUAAAGUUGUAACUCUGAACCUACUGCAGCCAACAAUAAAACCAGCAUUCACAAUACAAUGGGACUGAUUAAGUCCUCCAAGGAACGAUGUGGAGAUUGAUCUCCCAGGCACAAAGCAACCAACAUAAUCCGUGACUGGAGAUGCAACAGCCUUGGUGGUGGGCAUAGUCACACUUCUGAGAGACCAACUUCUCCAUAGAGACAUGUUUUGCUUUGAUUGACAUAACUUUAAAAACAUUCCCUCACCUAAAAGAAAUCACAAAAUAUGAGGAAAUUGAAAGUUACAUGUAAUGAACAAAUUAAAAUUUUAACUGGUAAGAAAAUGUUCACAGUUUAUUUGUUUUCCAGGCUUUUUUCGUUUGUUUGUUUUUGUUUUUAUACAUGAUGAUAAUGAUAAUGGUCUUGAAAAUCUUAUAAAAUCAUAGAAUGGCCUGGGUUGAAG
ensembl:lncRNA